CCUACGGGAGGCAGCAGUGAGGAAUAUUGGUCAAUGGGCGGGAGCCUGAACCAGCCAAGUCGCGUGAGGGAAGACGGUCCUAUGGAUUGUAAACCUCUUUAGGCGGGGAGCAAUGCCGGGCACGCGUGCCCGGAGGGAGAGUACCCGCAGAAUAAGCAUCGGCUAACUCCGUGCCAGCAGCCGCGGUAAUACGGAGGAUGCGAGCGUUAUCCGGAUUUAUUGGGUUUAAAGGGAGCGUAGGCGGGGAUGCAAGUUGGGUGUCAAAACUACCGGCUCAACUGGUAGUCGCACUCAAAACUGCAGCUCUUGAGUGAAGUAGAGGCAGGCGGAAUUCCUAGUGUAGCGGUGAAAUGCGUAGAUAUUAGGAGGAACACCAGUGGCGAAGGCGGCCUGCUGGGCUUUUACUGACGCUGAGGCUCGAAAGUGUGGGGAGCAAACAGGAUUAGAUACCCGAGUAGUC
rnacentral:rRNA from 1 species